UUUCAGUGACCAAGAAAGAUUACGUUGUUUUGUAAGACUUUUUUUUUUUUUUUGCCCACCUUCCUGAAUUUGGAAAACUUUCUUAAAAUCAGGCCUGGGCGCGGUGGCUCAAGCUUGUAAUUUCAGCACUUUGGGAGGCCGAGGCAGGCGGAUCACUAGGUCAAGAGAUCGAGACCAUCCUGGCCAACAUGGUGAAACCCCGUCUCUACUAAAGGUAUGAAAAUUAGCUGGGCAUGGCGGCGCACGUCUGUAGUCCCGGCUACUCGGGAGGCUGAGGCAGGAAAAUCGCUUGAACCCGGGAGGCGGAGUUUGCAGUGAGUGGAGAUCGCGCCACUGCACUCCAGCCUGGGCGACAAACUGAGGCUCCGUCUCAAAAACAAAACAAAACAAAAACACAAAAUUAGCCGGGCAUGGUGGCGCAUGCCUGCCUCAGGAGGCUGAGGCAGGAGAAUCGCUUGAACCCGGGAGGCGGAGAUUUCGGUAAGCCGAGAUCGCGGCAUUGCACUCCAGCCUGGGCAACAAGAGCGAAACUCCGUCUCCACAUAAAUAAAUAAUCAUUUUUGUAGGCAAAUAUAACAAAUACAGCAAAACGUCAUAGAAUCUAGAAAGAGUAUAUAUGCAUAUGUAUCUAUCACUUUUUCAACUUUUCUGUGUGUGAAAAUUUUGGACACUGAAGUGAAAAUAAACGCUUUCAAAGUCAGAAUACAAAGAAUUAUCUAUUGCAACUUCAACCCACCUGAAGCUUUGAGGCCUCUGAUCAACUCACAAACCUACAUUUCAAGCACUCGAUGAAAAAGCCCUUUCUUAAGACGGCAAGACUUUGAGAUUCAUCAACUGAUAAAAUAUAAAAGCGAUACUAAAAAUAAUCUCUCACCUAAUGUAAGUUCACCUAGAAAGUCAUUUACCAGGAGGUUUCAUGAGAAACUUAACUUAACUUUACUCAGUAAAAGAGCUUUUCCCUCUAUUACCACUUCGCCUACGUUUUUCGUAAUUCCCAACAGUAAGCUUUAACUGAAGAAGAAGAAAAAAAAAACAUCCCCAGCAAGCAGAUCCGGGCACCCCUCCCAGGUCCUAAAGCCUGCAAAAACCCAAAGAGUUCGUGGCGCUGGUGGCUCCAGCUGUUAGUUUCCCGGGCAGUCUCCGGGUUGGAUUUGCACCCUGGGGUCUACACGGGUUAAAAACGCGGAAAAAAGGCGACGAAGAAAUACAAACUGCCAGGGUGUCGAAAUGAAAGGAGCGACUGUGAAAGGGGUAAGGAAAAAUCCAAGCCAUCUCUACGGGGAGGAUCCAGAAAGCACCAGCCGCGCCAGGGGGUCAACCAACUCCGACACCGCUCGGCGUCAGCUGGGCGCCACCAGGCGCGGACUUCGGAGCGAGGGC
rnacentral:lncRNA from 1 species